CGACCGUGCAAAGGUAGCAUAAUCAUUUGCCUUAUAAUUGAAGGCUAGUAUGAAUGGUUUGACGAGAAUUAAGCUGUCUCUUUACAACUAAAUAUAACUUUAUAAGUAGGUGAAGAAGCCUAUCUUAAAUUGAAAGACAAGAAGACCCUAUCGAGCUUUAAAUAAUUUAACAGGUUAAUAAUAUAUUUAUAAAAAAAUUAAGCUGUUAAAAAUUUUAGUUGGGGCGACUGAGGAACAAAUAAAGCUUCCUUUAUCCAUAAAAUGACAGACAGGUACUGAUCCAAUAAAUUUGAUUAAAGGAAUUAGUUACCGUAGGGAUAACAGCAUAAUCCUUCUUGAGAGUUCCCAUCGAAAGAGGGGUUUGUGACCUCGAUGUUGGACCAGAAUACCCAGAAGAUGCAGCCGUCUUCAAUGGUUGGUCUGUUCGACCAUUAAA
rnacentral:rRNA from 1 species